UUAUUUUAUAUUAGUUAGAAUGGUAAUUAUUAAAAAGUUAGGAAAUAAUAGGUGUUGGAGAGGAUGUGGAGAAAUAGGAAUAUUUUUAUAUUGUUGGUGGGAUUGUAAAUUAGUUUAAUUAUUGUGGAAGUUAGUGUGGCGAUUUUUUAGGGAUUUAGAAUUAGAAAUAUUAUUUGAUUUAGUUAUUUUAUUAUUGGGUAUAUAUUUAAAGGAUUAUAAAUUAUGUUGUUAUAAAGAUAUAUGUAUAUGUAUGUUUAUUGUGGUAUUAUUUAUAAUAGUAAAGAUUUGGAAUUAAUUUAAAUGUUUAUUAAUGAUAGAUUGGAUAAAGAAAAUGUGGUAUAUAUAUAUUAUGGAAUAUUAUGUAGUUAUAAAAAAUGAUGAGUUUAUGUUUUUUGUAGGGAUAUGGAUGAAAUUGGAAAUUAUUAUUUUUAGUAAAUUAUUGUAAGGAUAAAAAAUUAAAUAUUGUAUGUUUUUAUUUAUAGGUGGGAAUUGAAUAAUGAGAAUAUAUGGAUAUAGGAAGGGGAAUAUUAUAUUUUGGGGAUUGUUGUGGGGUGGGGGGAGGGGGGAGGGAUAGUAUUAGGAGAUAUAUUUAAUGUUAAAUGAUGAGUUAAUGGGUGUAGUAUAUUAAUAUGGUAUAUGUAUAUAUAUGUAAUAAAUUUGUAUAUUGUGUAUAUGUAUUUUAAAAUUUAAAGUAUAAUAAUAAAAAAAAAAGAUAAGUGAGAGAAAUGGAGCACUUGUUCAGUACCCUCUGCCCUUGCAGUAACAGAU
rnacentral:misc_RNA from 1 species